AGUGAAGCUCCUUGGCGGCCGCAGCUGUAAGGGAACGUCUCAGCUGCCGAGGCGGACGGAGAGGAGACAGUUUGGAGAAGUGUUCCAGCUUGACUGCCAGGACUGUGUUUGCAGAGAGGGCGGCAGUGGAAUCACAUGUCAGAUCAGAAGCAUGAGUGCCGACCAUUGCAAAAAGUAUCGUGUUUAUAUCCUAAGACAGUGAUCAGCUCCUCUGAUGCCUGCUGCAAUGAGACUGUUUGCAGUACUCAGAAUACAACCUCCUGUCAGUUGCAGGAAUACUCCGAUUACAGUAUCUGUCCCACAGUAACUGCAGAACUACAAAUAUGGUGGAGAUGUCUCGGUGUGCAGGGUUCUGUGAAACCUUUUCAAUCUACUCAGCAGCUGCCAGGUCAAUGUUACAUACAUGUACCUGCUGCCAGGAGGUACAGACCAGCCAGAAACAUAUCAUGCUGCAGUGUUCUGACGGAAGUCAAGUUGACCAUGAGUACAUUGAUGUGGAGAAAUGUGACUGUGUAAACACUGACUGUGGAGCAGCGACAUCGGUUGAGGAAAAGACAACUGUUCCUGUUCGUCGGCCUAGAAAGAGCAGACUGAAAGGUUAAGUAAAAGGCAGCUGUCAUUUACAGUGAAGAAAAUACACUAUAAACUUAAUAUAUUACAACAUCACCAAUAUAUUGUAUUUGUGCAAAAUGUCAUAUUAUAUUUCUUUUAAAAAAUA